rnacentral:lncRNA from 10 species
ACAAAGAGCCCUCUGCACUAGCGCCGCAGGACCGCGGACCCGAGAUGUCCGGCGUCAAAUUUGGCUCCAAAAGGAUGGAGAGGGCUGGUAGGUAACCCACCCUCGUUGAAAACAACAGUGACAUCAGUUUAUGGAGAGGUUACUCUACGCAGGGACGUGCUUGGUGCUUUGCAAGCGUUAUCACAACAGUCCCACGAGGUGUUGGAGGCAUCUGUCCACCCAUGUGGUUCCAGACACGUUCAUGUGGCCACCAUGACCCCGUCGGCAUCACAGGGGUAACCAAGGUCCACAGAACGAGGGGAAAGGGUCACUGUGGAUCAAGCCAGGCUCCUCUGAGCAGUCCAGGGUCUAUUUACAGAGAGCAGCAAGUUCCUGGGACAGAGGAGACAGAAGGGAAUUUCCAGGUUCUUCAGGACGUUCACAACCACACUGAGAAGCAUCUUUGCAGAUAAGUAUUUAAACUUACCAGCCCAUAGCCUACCAGCCUGCCCUCUUCUGGUCUGUGCA